AGACCAACGGACGAUGUGAUUGGGCUUCGAACCACUCAGUGGUUUAUGCUCAGGAAAGUCCCCGGGCCCAUUACCGCAGAGAUGCGGGCCUGGAAACAGGUUAUGCUUCGAAGCAAAUGAAUCAUGUUGGGCCAGAAAUGGUUCGACGGGCUGAGACCAGUGUGUGGAGCCUUAUGGAUUCUAGCUCGAAGUUAAUUUGGCCGAUGUCAGUCAUUCACAUGGUCCUUUGUGACUAACUGAACGGGGCUUAUGAUCCGUUGGUC
rnacentral:RNase_MRP_RNA from 2 species